rnacentral:rRNA from 1 species
CCUACGGGGGGCAGCAGUGGGGAAUAUUGCACAAUGGGGGAAACCCUGAUGCAGCAACGCCGCGUGAGCGAAGAAGGCCUUCGGGUCGUAAAGCUCUGUCCUAAGGGAAGAAGUAUGACGGUACCUUAGGAGGAAGCCCCGGCUAACUACGUGCCAGCAGCCGCGGGAAUACGUAGGGGGCUAGCGUUAUCCGGAAUUACUGGGCGUAAAGGGUGCGUAGGCGGCCCUUCAAGUCAGAGUUGAAAGGCUACGGCUCAACCGUAGUAAGCCUUUGAAACUGUAUGGCUUGAGUGCAGGAGAGGAGAGUGGAAUUCCCAGUGUAGCGGUGAAAUGCGUGGAUAUUGGGAGGAACACCAGUUGCGAAGGCGGCUCUCUGGACUGUAACGGACGCUGAGGCACGAAAGCGGGGGAAGCGAACAGGAUUAGAUACCCCGGUAGUC